UCCAACUUAUGUCCCAAUUGUAUACAUGUCAUGUAGUAAAAUCUUGCGAUAAAGGUUUAUGAUAGGUGUUAUGUACACAAGCAUUGGAAAGCUGUAUAAUUUUACUUUGCUUGCAUUCUCUCUCUUGGUGGUGAUAUGUGUUCUUUGGGUUCCUUCAAGUAACCCAACUAGCUUGUUGGAAGCCAUUGAUCUCAUCCUCCAAGGUGCUCAGAAUCUUGUGGUACCAAUAAAGUCCAAUUCAAGAAGAAAACUGCAAGAAUCUCCCACAGCUCACAACGGCUGUGAAUUCUGCUGACCCAAGAAGACGUGAUCAGAUUUAGUCAAAAUUGAAAUGAAAACUUGUGAUUUUAGAGUUGAUAUUUCAAUACAAUUACCAAGACUUUCUGACAUUUAAUGAUCUGUCUUCUGCUUCUCUAUGUACUGUUUGAUGUAUUGGUUGUUAAGAUACAGUUCUAUUAACUAUUGGUAUGCAUAUAUAAUUACCAAGUUAUAAGUGUGUACAUAUCAUAGAUGAGUAAUAUGGCUUUGAAAUUGGAUGAUUUGUGUAGAUUGUUGUCUAAUUUCAUGUGGUAUUUGAAGUA